CCCUUUGAGGAGUCUCUCUUUUCUCUUCUUGUUUGUCCACAAAAGUACCAUCCACAGCCCCACCCCUUCCUCUCCAUCCCAUUCAGGACGAUCAACACAGUCACUGGACAAAAGGCAGGAAGAUUCCACUUGAGCAGUUUCUAUUAUCGUCCCCGAGGUAAAGAUUCCAAAGUCUUGCCAGCCGCCUGCUUAAAUGGGGAAAUGGAACAUGCAACAAGCACAACACAAAUCAAUAUCCCAAGAUAACAUUCCGCUGCUGUAGCACGCCAGGAAAUAAAUGUCAAAUUGUGCCUGGCUGAGGCCAGGUCACCAGCAACCAGAACUUUUAAAACAUAAUUGUGUUCCUUAUCAUGUUGCCUAUGCAAGCUUGGGGCAGGGUGGUGCAAAUAUAUGGUCCCCUCAGCAGUGUGGAGGGUUGUGAGGUUUCCUGGAGGGAAACUGACUCCUCAGCAGGGCUCUGACACAGGAAGAAGAGUUAGCCUGGAGAAGGAAAGGAAGCUGGACAUUUCAUCCAGGAGCUGCAGCAAGGACAAAAGAAAGAAGAGAGGACUAGCCUGACUUCAUAACCCAGUGAUGGGUCCCUACCCACAGAAGAAAAAGUGAUGCCAUCGUGGAUUUGAAGCCAUUGAAGGAAUAUCAAUAAGGAAGGGCCAGUUGGAUUGUGACUUUAGGUGAUCUGCAACGAGGGCUCACACGACAGCAGAAAUAACAGAGACAAAGAGAAGGUGAUGGCCGCAAGGAUCGAGGAGCUAGAAUCAGGAGGACUUGAUACUGGAUUGGCUGUGGAUCUGAAAGAGCGGGGAAAGUCCAGAAUGGCUCUCGUUUCUGCCUCAGCACUGAUGCACUGUCAACUGAAAAGAAAAUGAGACGCACAGGUCUAAAUGGGCCAGAUGGGACUCCCUGGGUCACUUUGCAUUUGAGGUGCCUGAGGGAUGGCCAUGUGGAGACAGCUGCCAUUUGUACAUGCAAGUCCGAAUCUCUAGGGGAAAAAUCAGAACCAUAUUAAUACUUUGGAACCAUCAGUAUUUGAGUAGCAAUUAAAAUUAAGAAAGUGAGUGUGAUUCACCACGGAGACUUACGUAGUGCCCAGCACAUAGAAGAUUGUUUCACCUAUCUUUGUGUAUGUUAUCAUAUGUAUAUACUAUUUUACAUACAGAAUUAAUUAAUGUAAUAUUUUACCCAUCCCCCCACCUGCACCACACACACACAUGCACACACACAUACCCUGGAAACAAAGUUCACAAGAUAACCCCAAACCUUACAAUGGAACUCAGUGGGAAGACACAAGAUUGUCAUCUGGCCCAUUACACCAAUGUGCACCUCCUCUUUGGUAUGUUUGUAGCUCCACGAGGCUGGCUGGAUACACCUGCCAGUUUAUUGCUAUGCCCACACGUUCAAUUCUGUGCUCAGCAUAGUGCCUGGAACAAGUAGGCACUUAGGGAGAAUUACAGAAUGAAUGAAGCAGUAGUCCCGCCUCCACAUUUAACCAUCACAUCCAUACAUCAGUGUACUUUGGGGUCAGAAUUUAUGUGUGGCUGAUAAAAGGGAGACCUUUUUAUAUUAGAAAAAAUGCUCAAAUUAUGAAUAAAUAAUGGAGAUUGCUUGGAAA